rnacentral:rRNA from 1 species
AGCGAACGCUGGCGGCAGGCUUAACACAUGCAAGUCGAACGGGCAUCUUCGGAUGUCAGUGGCAGACGGGUGAGUAACACGUGGGAACGUACCCUUCGGUUCGGAAUAACUCAGGGAAACUUGAGCUAAUACCGGAUACGCCCUUUUGGGGAAAGGUUUACUGCCGAAGGAUCGGCCCGCGUCUGAUUAUCUUGUUGGUGGGGUAACGGCCUACCAAGGCGACGAUCAGUAGCUGGUCUGAGAGGAUGAUCAGCCACACUGGGACUGAGACACGGCCCAGACUCCUACGGGAGGCAGCAGUGGGGAAUAUUGGACAAUGGGCGCAAGCCUGAUCCAGCCAUGCCGCGUGAGUGGUGAAGGCCUUAGGGUUGUAAAGCUCUUUUGUCCGGGACGAUAAUGACGGUACCGGAAGAAUAAGCCCCGGCUAACUUCGUG